rnacentral:rRNA from 1 species
UACCAGCUCUCCGAGUGGUGUGGAUGUUUAUUGGGCCUAAAGCAUCCGUAGCUGGCUGGGCAAGUCCCCUGUUAAAUCCACCGAUUCAAUCGUUGGAGUGCGGGGGAUACUGCUCGGCUAGGGGACGGAAGAGGCCGACGGUAUUUUCGGGGUAGGGGUGAAAUCCUAUAAUCCCGGAAAGACCACCAGUGGCGAAGGCUGUCGGCUAGAACGCGCCCGACGGUGAGGGAUGAAAGCUGGGGGAGCGAACCGGAUUAGAUACCCGGGUAGUCCCAGCUGUAAACGAUGCAGGCUAGGUGUUUGGGCGGCCACGUGCCGCUCUAGUGCCGCAGGGAAGUCGUUAAGCCUGCCGCCUAGGGAGUACGGCCGCAAGGCUGAAACUUAAGGAUUGGCGGGGAGCACACAAGGGGUGAAGCUUGCGGUUU